CGUUCUCGGGCCUUGUACACACCGCCCGUCACACCACGGAAGCCGGCAACACCCGAAGCCGGUGGCCUAACCCGCAAGGGAGGGAGCCGUCGAAGGUGGGGUUGGUGACUGGGGUG
rnacentral:rRNA from 1 species